UCAAAAUCUAUUGUUAAAAGAACAAUUUCGCGUGCUCCAUGCAAACGUGCGGCAAAAUUAUUAUAAACUUACAAGCUAACUUGUUGAUUGAAUUUGUGCUAAUUAAUGGUAUAUUAUUGUGCUAUCUAUUGAUUUAUCAGUGCUCACUCUAGAAUACCUAGUGAAUUUGUUCUAACCUAAAAUCUACCUACAUCCUAAACCUACAUGCGAAGGUUUUAGUACGGAGAGUAUUCGGUAAAGGGUUGAUUAAAACAAAAUCUACACUAGGAGACCGACGAAAUACAUCACAUUUCCUUUGGUAUACUGAUCACCAUCAAGUAUUGCACAACGGGA